CCUGAAACACCCUCUUCAUGGAGGAUUGGGUCUCAUCUAGGGCUGUGAAUGCACCCACAAAGCGCCCCAGGUCCUUAAUAAAGGAGUCCCCAAAUAAGAGGCCUUGGGCGUCCUUUCCUGCCUCUGUGAGGGCGAGGUUGGCCAGUUUGGGUUCAAUCUUGAACAGAAUGGCUUUACGCCUUUCAAUGGACAGAGAGGCGUUUACAUUGCCCACAAUGCAGAGAGCCCUCUGCACCUAACCACGGAGUUCCUGCAGGUCAACCUGCCGGUUCUCGGCUCUGGCGAUUUCAGCCAGAUCAAACAGUUUGGCCAAAGGGCCAAAUAUGUCAAGAUGUUUAUCUUGGCACGAUUUAAGUGCUGAAUCUCCAAACCCAUUUUGGAGAGGAAUUGGGUCAUCUUAGGGUCCACUACAG